CGACCUCAGAUCAGACGAGAUUACCCGCUAAAUUUAAGCAUAUCAAUAAGCGGUGGAAAAGAAACGAAAACGAAUUCUCCAAGUAGCGGCGAGCGAAACGAGAAAAGUCCAUACACCGAAGUCGGCGCGAUUGUUGUGUUCGUCAACAGUGUGGUGUUAAAGGUGUCGUUGCAUGUGCUGAAUCCACCA
rnacentral:ncRNA from 1 species